rnacentral:rRNA from 1 species
GACGAACGCUGGCGGCGUGCUUAACACAUGCAAGUCGAACGGAAAGGCCCUGCUUUUGUGGGGUGCUCGAGUGGCGAACGGGUGAGUAACCCGUGAGUAACCUGCCCUUGACUUUGGGAUAACUUCAGGAAACUGGGGCUAAUACCGGAUAGGAGCUCCUGCUGCAUGGUGGGGGUUGGAAAGUUUCGGCGGUUGGGGAUGGACUCGCGGCUUAUCAGCUUGUUGGUGGGGUAGUGGCUUACCAAGGCUUUGACGGGUAGCCGGCCUGAGAGGGUGACCGGCCACAGUGGGACUGAGGUACGGCCCAGACUCCUACGGGAGGCAGCAGUGGGGAAUAUUGCACAAUGGGCGGAAGCCUGAUGCAGCAACGCCGCGUGCGGGAUGACGGCCUUCGGGUUGUAAACCGCUUUCGCCUGUGACGACGCGUGAGUGACGGUAAUGGGUAAAGAAGCACCGGCUAACUACGUG